rnacentral:rRNA from 1 species
UACGGAGGGGGCUAGCGUUGUCCGAAUUUACUGGGCGUAAAGCGCGCGUAGGCGGGUUGGUAAGUCCGCUGUGAAAGCCCGGAGCUCAACUCCGGAGGGUCGGUGGAUACUGCCAGUCUUGAAGGUGCUAGGGGGAGAUGGAAUUACCGGUGUAGCGGUGAAAUGCGUAGAUAUCGGUAGGAACACCAGUGGCGAAGGCGGUCUCCUGGGGCAUUCUUGACGCUGAGGCGCGAAAGCUGGGGGAGCGAACGGG